rnacentral:rRNA from 1 species
ACGGGAGGCAGCAGUAAGGAAUAUUGGUCAAUGGACGAAAGUCUGAACCAGCCAUGCCGCGUGGAGGAUGAAGGUCCUCUGGAUUGUAAACUUCUUUUAUAUGGGACGAAAAAAGGGUUUUCUAACUCGUCUGACGGUACCAUAUGAAUAAGCACCGGCUAACUCCGUGCCAGCAGCCGCGGUAAUACGGAGGGUGCAAGCGUUAUCCGGAUUCACUGGGUUUAAAGGGUGCGUAGGUGGGUUGGUAAGUCAGUGGUGAAAUCCCCGAGCUUAACUUGGGAACUGCCAUUGAUACUAUCAGUCUUGAAUAUCGUGGAGGUUAGCGGAAUAUGUCAUGUAGCGGUGAAAUGCUUAGAUAUGACAUAGAACACCAAUUGCGAAGGCAGCUGGCUACACGAAUAUUGACACUGAGGCACGAAAGCGUGGGGAUCAAACAGGAUUAGAUACCCUGGUA